CUGCUCGCUUCAGCAUCACAUAUACUAAAAUUGGAACAAUAUAGAGAUUAGCAUGGCCCCUGUGCAAAGAUGACAUGCAAAUUCCUGAAGCAUUUCAUAUUUUA
ensembl:snRNA U6 U6 spliceosomal RNA